CUCUGACUUACUUUGGAGGUAGUACAGUAUGAUAUUUAGGUUGGGGUAUCUGUGACUUACUUUGGAGGUAGUACAGUGUGAUAUUUAGGUUGGGGUGUCUG